UAGGGAAUCUUCGGCAAUGGACGAAAGUCUGACCGAGCAACGCCGCGUGAGUGAAGAAGGUUUUCGGAUCGUAAAACUCUGUUGUUAGAGAAGAACAAGGACGUUAGUAACUGAACGUCCCCUGACGGUAUCUAACCAGAAAGCCACGGCUAACUACGUGCCAGCAGCCGCGGUAAUACGUAGGUGGCAAGCGUUGUCCGGAUUUAUUGGGCGUAAAGCGAGCGCAGGCGGUUUCUUAAGUCUGAUGUGAAAGCCCCCGGCUCAACCGGGGAGGGUCAUUGGAAACUGGGAGACUUGAGUGCAGAAGAGGAGAGUGGAAUUCCAGGUGUAGCGGUGAAAUGCGUAGAUAUAUGGAGGAACACCAGUGGCGAAGGCGGCUCUCUGGUCUGUAGCUGACGCUGAGGCUCGAAAGCGUGGGGAGCAAACAGG
rnacentral:rRNA from 1 species